UACGAAGGGGGCUAGCGUUGUUCGGAAUUACUGGGCGUAAAGCGCACGUAGGCGGAUACUUAAGUCAGGGGUGAAAUCCCGGGGCUCAACCCCGGAACUGCCUUUGAUACUGGGUAUCUCGAGUCCGGAAGAGGUGAGUGGAAUUCCGAGUGUAGAGGUGAAAUUCGUAGAUAUUAGGAAGAACACCAGUGGCGAAGGCGGCCCACUGGAUCGGUACUGACACUGAGGUGCGAAAGCGUGGGGAGCAAACAGG
rnacentral:rRNA from 1 species